rnacentral:rRNA from 1 species
UGGGGAAUUUUGGACAAUGGGCGAAAGCCUGAUCCAGCCAUGCCGCGUGAGUGAAGAAGGCCUUCGGGUUGUAAACUUCUUUUGGCAGGGACGAAAAAAAUGACGGUACCUGCAGAAUAAGCUCCGGCUAACUACGUGCCAGCAGCCGCGGUAAUACGUAGGGAGCAAGCGUUAUCCGGAUUUACUGGGUGUAAAGGGCGCGUAGGCGGGAAUGCAAGUCAGAUGUGAAAUCUGGGGGCUCAACCCCCAAACUGCAUUUGAAACUGUAUUUCUUGAGUGAUGGAGAGGCAAGUGGAAUUCCUAGUGUAGCGGUGAAAUGCGUAGAUAUUAGGAGGAACACCAGUGGCGAAGGCGACUUGCUGGACAUUAACUGACGCUGAGGCGCGAAAGCGUGGGGAGCAAACA